ACCAUGCAAGUCGAACGAUGAACCACUUCGGUGGGGAUUAGUGGCGAACGGGUGAGUAACACGUGGGCAAUCUGCCCUGCACUCUGGGACAAGCCCUGGAAACGGGGUCUAAUACCGGAUACUGAUCCGCCUGGGCAUCCAGGCGGUUCGAAAGCUCCGGCGGUGCAGGAUGAGCCCGCGGCCUAUCAGCUUGUUGGUGAGGUAACGGCUCACCAAGGCGACGACGGGUAGCCGGCCUGAGAGGGCGACCGGCCACACUGGGACUGAGACACGGCCCAGACUCCUACGGGAGGCAGCAGUGGGGAAUAUUGCACAAUGGGCGCAAGCCUGAUGCAGCGACGCCGCGUGAGGGAUGACGGCCUUCGGGUUGUAAACCUCUUUCAGCAGGGAAGAAGCGAAAGUGACGGUACCUGCAGAAGAAGCGCCGGCUAACUACGUGCCAGCAGCCGCGGU
rnacentral:rRNA from 1 species